GGAUGCGAUCAUACUAGCACUAAUGCACCGGAUCCCAUCACAACUCUGAAGUUAAGCGUGCUUGGGCGAGAGUAGUACUAGGAUGGGUGACCUCCUGGGAAGUCCUCGUGUUGCAUUCC
rnacentral:rRNA from 2 species